rnacentral:rRNA from 1 species
AGAGUUUGAUCCUGGCUCAAAACGAACGCUGGCGGCGUGGCUAAGGCAUGCAAGUCAAACGGAACUCUUUUGUCAGUAAUACUGUGAGAGUUUAGUGGCGGACGGGUGAGUAAUGCAUGGGUAACGUACCUUAGGCUCAGGGAUAGCGGCCCCCUUCGGGGAUUUAGCGAAAGUGCCGGGAAUACCUGAUAACAUCCAGAGGUCUCAUGGUUUCUGGAUCAGAGAUGGGGACCCUUCGGGGCCUGUCGGCCAAAGAUCGGCCCAUGUCCUAUCAGCUUGUUGGUGGGGUAAUGGCCUACCAAGGCUGCAACGGGUAGCCGGCGUGAGAGCGCGACCGGCCACAUCGGGACUGAUACACUGCCCGGACACCUACAGGUGGCUGCAGCAACGAAUAUUCCGCAAUGGGCGAAAGCCUGACGGAACGACGCCGCGUGGGGGAUGAAGUCCUUCGGGAUGUAAACUCCAAUAGUAUACCAGGAAGCAACCCGACCUAAUACGUCGGUGCGUUGACCAACAUACGAAAGGGGCGGCUAACUCCGUGCCACCAGCCGCGGUAA